UACGUAGGGUGCAAGCGUUGUCCGGAAUUAUUGGGCGUAAAGAGCUCGUAGGCGGUCUGUUGCGUCGGCUGUGAAAACCCGAGGCUCAACCUCGGGCCUGCAGCCGAUACGGGCAGACUAGAGUUCGGCAGGGGAGACUGGAAUUCCUGGUGUAGCGGUGAAAUGCGCAGAUAUCAGGAGGAACACCGGUGGGCGAAGGCGGGUCUCU
rnacentral:rRNA from 1 species